UCCCCGGUGGCUCAGCUGGUAAAGAAUCUGCCUGCAAUGCAAGAGACCUGGGUUCAAUCCCAGGCUUGGGAA
rnacentral:tRNA from 1 species